UGACACGCGAUGAUGAGAAGAGUAGAUAAUUUCAUUCCUUCACAGAGAGCCCCGGAUGCUGAAAAGGGGCAGGGAAUGUUUUGUUGAAACAAGCCUCUGAGCGGCGUAUCGGAACCGGCAGCCGGGGAUGGUACGACAGGUGCUCCUGUUACAGAGCUAGAGUAUAAGCCUUGCUUUCAGCAAUGCCGUACUUGAUGAGUUUAAUAUGGCGACAUAUUAAUAAACCUGGGGUGGUACCGCGAGAAUCUCGUCCCCAAG
rnacentral:ncRNA from 1 species